UUUUAUUUAUUUUUCAAUUUCUAUUUGACCUACCAUUUUUCAAAAAUAAUAUAGUGUCUAAAAUGAAAAUAUUUGAAUGUGAAAGCACUGUCUGCAACAAAUUUAGGAAGGUAAUUUACUAUGUAGGGUCUUUUGUAUCGGUAUGCCUAUACUAACUUUUGUUCUCAAUUUCAGAAAUGGAGAAGAUGAGUGAGUCGAUGAAGAUUACGGAAGACCUAUUACCAACCAAAUCGAGGAAAAGAUAUGACGAUGCUUACGAAAAAUUUUUUCAAUGGCUGAAUGAAGAGGAAAUUGUGCCUACAGAAGUGUGUGAUGAAAUUUUAUUAGUGUAUUUGACCAAUUUAUCUAAAGUAUGUAGAGCUAGUACAGUUUGGUCCAAUUUUUCGAUGAUUAAGAGUUGUCUCAAUGUGAAGCACAACAUUGACUCAAAAUCAUUUACACUAUGCACUACAUUUCUGAAAAAGCUCAAUGUCAACUACAAACCUAAAAAAUCAAACGUUCUGACAGGUAACGAAGUAGUAAAGUUCAUGAAAGAAGCUCCAGACAGUGAAUGGCUUCUAACAAAGGCUAUUAUGGCUUUUGGUAUUUUUGGAGCUUGCCGAAUAGAUGAUCUUUUACAACUAAAUGUUGAUGAUAUUAAAGACAAUGGCAGUUUUAUGGCAGUAUUCCUUGAAGAAGGAAAAACUCAUUCGAAGAGAAGCUUCAUCAUAAAUGAUGAAGAUUGCCCUUUCAGCCCUUGUGAAUUGAUUCGCAAAUACAUAUCACUUCGUCCAUCAACUAUGAUAAGUAAAAGAUUAUUUAUAAAGUACAACCAGGGAAAGUGUUCAUCUCAGCAUGUAGGUAAAAAUACUAUAGCUGCUGUGCCAAAGAAAGUAGCUCAGUACCUUGGACUUGAUAAUCCUGAAAGUUAUACCGGCCAUGCACUAAGACUAACAUCAGCUUCAAUGUUAGUUGAAGGUUGAAGUGUCAAAAAAGCUCUUCAAUAAUGAAAAUUUAUUAUCACAUCUUAAAGAAAUAUAUUUGACAAAUAAAGUAUGAUUAACUAUUUUCAAAAAUAAUGAACAGUUAAAUUCAUCAGAUAUACCAGUAUCAGCUGUUUUUGUUGCAAGGCUGAGAUCUGGCAACCCUGUUCUCCUUUCUUCUUACACUGCCAUUACAACGUGACCUCACUAUACCAGCUGAUUGCAUGUCGGCAACAAAGACCUUAAAGAUGCAUAGACAUAGAUGCAUUUUAAGACCUUGAAGAUAUCUCUUUAAGGUCUUUGGUUGGCAAUAUUCAACUUGCACAUCAUAAAAUGGAUAUGUUCAGCUCUAGAAAAUGAACCACAAGUUUAUUUUUGUUCUAAAGAUGAUGAAUAAAUCCAAAGUAUUAAAUUUAAAAGGGUUAGGGGUUAGGUUUUAUUUAGUUUAUAUUUAUUAUGUUUCAUUAGGAUAGGUUAGGUUUUUGCUUAAAAAUUGCAAUAUGCUAGAAGGGGCUAGGGUCCAGGUAGAGUUAUGUUUUUUGAUGUUUCAAAUGUGAAAGGAUAGGUUAGGGGGUUAGGAUUUUGCUUUGAACCACAUGUUUCUGAACAUGUUCAUGAAAUGAACCACAUGUUUAUGUUCUGUUCUGAAGAUGACAAAUAAAUCUAAAGUAUUAAAUGUGAUAGGGUCAGGGGUUAGGUUUUAUUCAGGUUAUAUUUAAUAAUGUUUUAUCAGGAUAGGUUAUAUUUAUUAUAUUUCAUUAGGAUAGAUUAAUUUUCUGCUUCUUAUAAAUUUAUGAAUUCUGCUCUCUUUAAAUAAUUAAAGUAUUUACUCUCUCUAUAGUUGAAAUUGUGUUUAAUAAGCCUGCUAUUUGAAUGAACAUUAAGAUACAUUUUCAAUCCAAUUAUCUGGUUUUCCUAAAUUUAUGAAUUCUGUAAUCUUUGUAUUGAUAAAAUGGAAGAUCUCUUGUUUCGUUGAAAUAAUAUGUAGGUAGUACUAUUUCAUCAUUAUAAUUGAUAUGCUGAAAUAAAAAUUUUGUGGUGUGUUUUUUGAAAAUCCUUUAUCAUAAUCCCAUAUCUCCACAUUUUGAAAAUCCCAUACCGUAUCCAGAAUAUCCCUGUUCUUAGAUAUUAAAUAAUGAAGUUCUAUAAAGAUUGUGGUCAGUAGUUCAGUAUGUCCAUAGCAUUGACUAGACUAUAGACAAAAUCAUGCAUAGCAAAACUUGAUUAUUCAUAGUAAAUUUAAAAAUUUUUCAAUUUCCAUAUUUUAUAUAACUGACUAGAGUAGUAGAAUGGACUAGAGUAAUAGAAAAUGUUAUAUUCUGUCAAUUAAAUGAAAAAAAUUAUUAGGCGGAGUAAGGACUUUCAAGUCCUCUCUACCACCACUCAACCUCGCGCAAUCUGUAGUUUACGAAAAAAUAAUGGUUACUGCAACUUCAGUGACCAGUAGGAUACAUUCAAUAUACAGGAAUAAUUUUCCUGACAAUCAACAGAUCAGUUACUCGUUUAUUUAAGGAUUAUUAUUUUGCAUAACUUCUUACUAUGUAUUAUUUUUUAUCAAAUAAAAUUCAUAAUAAUUAAAAUCAUUUCAAAUUUCAUACAAAUAUUUUGCAAAUCUUAAGCACACGUGAAUAAAAUUGAUUUAAAAAGAAAAUUCAAGUAUAGGCCUACUAAAUAAAACAUCCAAAAAAAUUUAAAUUAAUUAAUAAUGAUGCCUCAUAAAUGAUUAAGUUUGUAGAGUUAAUAUUGAUUUUGUUGAACUUUUCCAUAAUUGAAGAGACUUGAAAUGUCAAAAAAUCCACUUCAUUUCAAGUCUCUUCAAUUAUGCCUCAUAAAACCUCAUGGAGUCAAUACCUCUUGUCAGUCUCACUUAUUCAAUUCAAAGAUUAUUAUUUGAUCCACAAAUGGUGACCACGUGCUCUCCUAAAAUUGAAAAAUUGUAGAUUUUUGUUAUUUGUUGUAACAUGUGUUCUAAACAUAUUGUAUUGUAAGAAUAUGGACGCUCUAGAGCUAGAAUAAUAAAAAGAACCGUUUCUCAAAACUAUUGAGAAUACAGUUGAAUAGCCUACCUAGCCAGACGACAGUGGUAUUCUUUUCAAAAUAGUUUGAAACUAAAUCAAUUCUUUCAUAGAAACUUGACAAUAUUCUUAACACUAUUUACAGACACGUUUACAAUAGAAACCACAUGGUCCACUGUGUUUUGUGUUAACCCUUGUAUAUAGCUAUAGCGUAAGUUGAUGGCAGGUAAAUGUAGAUUGCAUAUAGCAAUAUAGAUAUACAGUUAGGAGAGUAGUAGAAUAUAGAUAUUAUGUAGUUUACAAUGUUACCACGUGGUUAGCAUUAUGCUACAAUGUUACCACGUGGUUGGCAUAUGAUUAUUAUUGAAGCAACUAUUUGAUGAUCAAUUAUUUGAAUAAACAUGAUAUGAGUAGAUGUCUAUAUAGAUUAGGUCAUUAAGUAGGUUAGGCUAUGUAUAAAUCAUUCAAAAAAUAUAUGUUGUACAAUGAAUUAUAAUGUAAUAAUAUUAUUAAAAGCUAAGUGAGUUAGUUGAAUCCGGAUUCUUAUGCUAAGGAUGAAUUUAUAAAUAUAAUUAGGUAUGUUUGAUUGAAACAUGUUGACAAUUAGUAUAGUUAUACAAUGAGUAUGAGAAACCUGCUUAAUUAAUAAGUAUCUUAUUAAUUUGAUUUAUUCAAUUCAAUUUAUUGUAAUGAUGUACUGUAUGACAUUGUAUUUUAUUCUUCAUUUCAUGUAUUUAUUAUUGAAGUAUUUUCCAUAUUAGAUUUAUAAGAUUGAUUACUGUAUUAAUCAAAUUCGAUGAGUAUGUAUUCGAUUGUUAGUAUCCAAACUUCAGAGUUUAAAUAUUGGUAAAAUGUAUGAUAUCAUUUGUUUUAAUAAUGAAGGGGAGCCAUAGUUUAAAAUGAUAUAUUAUAAUAAACAUUAUAGUAAAUUUAAAUUGAUAUUUGAAUUCAGUUUGUAAACUGAAUAUUAGGCUGAAGAGUUUGAGUGUAGGUGGAGCUAGAGGGCGAAGGGUGAUGAGGGGUGGAAAAUCGUGGUGCUAGUAUAUAAGCAGGCAGACCAUGUCUUGCGAGGUUAGUCUCUUGGAUUUUGGACAGUGCUCAGUGUAGGAGUGGUUCUUUGGUUUCAGACUUCAAUUAUCCUAUAGGGAAUUGACUGAGCCAGUUAGAGUUUGUAUUUAGAAUUUUCAAUUUUUCUUAUUUCAAAUCCACACCACUCCACCCUAAAAAGCCCAAAUAAGUAUAUAAAAUUACAUAGCAUCAAAGUAAACAGCAAAUUUAAUUAUUAAGUUUUUCUAAAUACAAAUCUGUAGAUACAGUUUUAAUUAACUUCUUGAAGCUUACAGUCGAAAUUUUCUUCCAAGCACAAAUAAUAGUUUAUUAAAGCAAGGCUCCUCUAAUCACAAUCAUUCUUUAAAAUUUAUUAAUUCUUUUAUUUUUGACUGUAAUCGUAUUUUUAACUAGAGGUGUUCAAUAUUUAGAUUUUACAUUUUACUCUUCAAAUAACUAAAUAAAUGGGAACUGUUUGUUAAAUUUUACUGUAUAAAAUUAAACUUGAACUGUAGUACUUUCAAAACUCAAUCAUCUUGUAUAUUUUAAAUCAUUACUAUAUUUUAAUCAAUUUUUAUAAAUUCAUUUCAAUUUAAAGUGUAUUAAUAAAUUCAUAAUUAACAU